rnacentral:rRNA from 1 species
CCUACGGGGGGCAGCAGUAGGGAAUAUUGCUCAAUGGGGGAAACCCUGAAGCAGCAACGCCGCGUGGAGGAUGAAGGUUUUCGGAUUGUAAACUCCUUUUGUUAGAGAAGAUGAUGACGGUAUCUAACGAAUAAGCACCGGCUAACUCCGUGCCAGCAGCCGCGGUAAUACGGAGGGUGCAAGCGUUACUCGGAAUCACUGGGCGGAAAGAGCGCGUAGGCGGGAUAGCAAGUCAGAUGUGAAAUCCUAUGGCUUAACCAUAGAACUGCAUUUGAAACUGUUAUUCUAGAGUAUGGGAGAGGUAGGUGGAAUUCUUGGUGUAGGGGUAAAAUCCGUAGAGAUCAAGAGGAAUACUCAUUGCGAAGGCGACCUGCUAGAACAUAACUGACGCUGAUGCGCGAAAGUGUGGGGAGCAAACAGGAUUAGAUACCCUUGUAGUC